UACGUAGGGUACAAGCGUUAAUCGGAAUUACUGGGCGUAAAGCGUGCGCAGGCGGUUAUGUAAGACAGGUGUGAAAUCCCAGGGCUUAACCUUGGAACUGCAUUUGUGACUGCAUAGCUAGAGUACGGUAGAGGGGGAUGGAAUUCCGCGUGUAGCAGUGAAAUGCGUAGAUAUGCGGAGGAACACCGAUGGCGAAGGCAAUCCCCUGGACCUGUACUGACGCUCAUGCACGAAAGCGUGGGGAGCAAACAGG
rnacentral:rRNA from 1 species